rnacentral:rRNA from 1 species
GUGGGGAAUAUUGGACAAUGGGGGGAACCCUGAUCCAGCCAUGCCGCGUGUGUGAAGAAGGCCUUUUGGUUGUAAAGCACUUUAAGCGAGGAGGAGGCUACCGAGAUUAAUACUCUUGGAUAGUGGACGUUACUCGCAGAAUAAGCACCGGCUAACUCUGUGCCAGCAGCCGCGGUAAUACAGAGGGUGCAAGCGUUAAUCGGAUUUACUGGGCGUAAAGCGCGCGUAGGUGGCCAAUUAAGUCAAAUGUGAAAGCCCCGAGCUUAACUUGGGAAUUGCGUUCGAUACUGGUUGGCUAGAGUAUGAGAGAUGAUGGUAGAAUUCCAGGUGUAGCGGUGAAAUGCGUAGAGAUCUGGAGGAAUACCGAUGGCGAAGGCAGCCAUCUGGCCUAAUACUGACACUGAGGUGCGAAAGCAUGGGGAGCAAACAGGAUUAGAAACCCGAGUAGUCC